rnacentral:lncRNA from 1 species
UUAGCAAAUGUUUAAUAGAAAUAGUGUGUUGGACAACUAUUAUUUUAGUAAAUAGGGUACUUUUAUGUUUUGCUUACCAAUUAUUUUUGUUGAAGCCAGCGCAGCGCGGGAGAGGGAGUGGAGAACGAGGGAGUACGCCGCCGGGGUUGUGUGAGUCCGACCGCGACGACGCCGGUGAGAUUGAGCGUCGAAGCGUGAGUCCUAUUUGUUAUUCGUUUUCUUUAUGAUCUAUUUGGUUUUUUAAAAUUGAUUUUCACUUUUUCCAAUUUUCUCGCUCUAGAUCGAUCACUUGUUUCGCCACCACGACAGGCCCUGAUCCACUUGUUCCUACUCCUGCCUUCCCACCAUCCACCUCAACAUCAUCCAAAUCGCCACUAUAUAUAUAUAUAUAUACGCAUGUUAUGUUAUAGUAAUAUAUUUUUUUUUGUCUGUUCUUGAUUAAAGUAUAUAUCUUUAUUAAAUUGGAUCAACUGUGGAAUGGACGUACAAUACAAUAUACAUAGAUGAUAGAAGAAAUGUGAUUUCCUUAUAAUUUGAUACAAAAUGCCGCAGGUUCAUUUUUUGGCAUGUUAUGAAUAUUUGCAGCAAAGGAAAAUGGAAGUGUUAAUUUUAGGAUAGAUUGUCAAAUACUGAUUCAUGUUGCCCCUUGGAUUUGGAAUAGUAGGGCCAUUCAUAAGAGGUUUGUUUCUAACAUGAGAACAGAGGGAAUUUGGGUUACUUAUUUAUUACCUGAAAUUCUUGUUGGAAGUGAAACGACAAAUUUUAAAGGUUAUUGCAUAUAUGUCCUAUUUGUUUAAACAAGGUAAUAAAAAUUAAUUCUGUGAUACUUUUGAUCUUUUGUAUAUACAUUUUUUUAGAAGCUAUUUAUUUUAGCUUCUGGAAAAAAAACUCUGAAGCACUUUUUGAGUCUCCCUGAAAAAGUUCGUGCUCAUCAUGGUCAAGCCUUUUGUUUUUUGCUGCAACUUCUCGAGACAAAUUUUCUACCCAGGUUCGGUUCUGUUUCUGUUUGCUGUUGAUUGUUGGUUCCAUCCCUUUAUUUCAGCCAAGACAUGUCCCAAUCAAAACUAGUGCAACAUAGCACCUCAGUCUCAACUUUCUUUUGUUAAUGAUUGUAGUUAUGGCUUCAAUGAUCAUUGUUUGUAGAUAAUUAAAGUGUUAGGAUGACAAGCCUUUAUUCUUUUUGAGCAUUUAUUGGUUUAUAAAAAUACAAAUUUUUUUCAUUGUCUUUAGUAUAGCUUCCAUCCUGGAAUCUGCUAAGACAUCAUAGUUUUGUUGGGGUUGGCCAUUUCCAUGAUGCUAACCAGGAUUUUAAAAUAUUUAUUUAAAUUAAAAGAGUGAGUGAAGAAUUCUAGAGAAUAUAGAAAAAAUAUAUCCUAAACUUGGAUGAUGCACAACUCAACCCUAGUACCUUGCACAGGUGAAUGAAAUCAGUAAAAUCCAUAAAAUCGUGCUUCGGCCAAUAAAUCAUUUAUGAGAAAAGAAGUAGUCUCUUGCCACACAAAAAAGAGGCAAUAAUAAACACUAGCAAACAUUUAUUUUAUUAAUAGACAUGUGACAGAACUAGAAUUGCUUUAGCAUCUCCAGACACUAAGUUUUGCAGUAAGAAAGUAUAUCCUAACUCUGUUUUAUGUAUCUUUAAGCAAAACCAACACGUAUCAUAGAAUUUUCACCCCUCCUUCCAAUUAAUCAAUAUUCUAUAUAUCUUUAAUCACUAUAAACUGGUUCACGUAAAAUGGCGUGCAAGCAUCAUUAUGAAGGAUGAACUCGUCUAAAGUGGUGUAUUUGACGUCAGGAUAUAGCAUUGAAGCUUCGACUCCAAAUGAAGGCUUGAUUUCAUAGUUAGUGUGAUCUCCCUUCACAUAUGCAGAGUGGCAAAUUGACACACCGAUGUCGAUGGGGAAUGAAGAUUCUACAAGAACAAGAAAUUGCAAUUAUCAGCACAAACACAUAUUUAGAAGCCCUUUGCGCAAUAAUUUCAAGCUAACCAAAGAACAUGAUUUUUGUGAAGUGAAAGAAGCAAGUUCACCAUACGUUUCUUUCAACUAAUAGGACACAUGUCGAACAUGCACUAUAAUUCACUUGACACUAACCUUCAAUAAUCUUCAAAACUUUCUCUUCUGGUACAUAGACUCUCUUGAGAAUUUCACUGUGAUGCUUCUCCCAGAGAGAUACAAGGUCAUUGUAUGACAAGGUGUUACCAGGUGGUCGGACAUAGAGAAUUUUGUUCAAGGUUCUUGGAUCAUCAACACUUCUAAUGGUGUAAGUGGCAACAUCCUCUUCCGAAUUAAGAACAACUGUAGACGAAACAAAAGUUGAUACGAAGAUUUGUGAUAUAUAAACUCUUAAUCCAAAUGAAAAUCAGGGUGCAAAAAAGACAAAACAAACCAGACAAAAAAAAAAUCAAAUCGUGUGAAAAGGUGAAUCAGACUCUUCGUAUAACAACAUGAAGUUGCGCAAAAUCAAACUGAACUUAACCAAAUCGUAAUUUGUAUAAAAACAUAAACUGCUCAUGCAUGCAAAAAAGUGUGUUUACGUACAUUUAGUGUUUCCAUCUCCAAGAAUAACAACAGUAUCAAGUGGUGAUGUUAUGCCAAAAAGAUCUGACCCAGUGGGUAGGAAGUGUCCAGCGAAAAAGUUGGCCACCACAUAGGUAUAAGGAAUUCCUUCAGCCUCAAUGGUUCGACGAAUUUGAACUUUAGUGUCAAAUAGCUUGUGUCCUUCGUCUACAGCAUGAGUUCGAUCCACAUCAUUUCCAAACUCUGAAGGAAAGAACCUCUGCAAACAAAUAACUACAUCACAACAACUCCAACAUGUUUGUCACGAAGAAAUACAACCACAAUACUUUCUUCCAAUCAUAUGGUAACAUUGAACUCCAAUCACAAAGUUAUAAGCAUCAUCAUGGUUUGCAUGAAAGUGCAUAUUUUGGUGCAAACAUGGAGAAAAACAAGAACAGUAAAUUUGGAGGUACCUUAACAUUUCCGGCUUCCUUAAUAGCAGAAAUGAUCUUAUAUUGAACAUCUAACUGCGUGUGACUCACAAUAGAUAUUACCACAUCCACCUUCUUUAUCGCCUCAACCAAACUCUGAUGAUCACGUACAUCUCCCUGUGUAUACAUCAAACCCACAAUUAAACUAAGUACUUUGCAUAAAAAAAAUAGGAGAAAAAACCUGAUGCAAUAAUCUUGAACAAAAACAGAAGAAGAAAAUAGAUAAAGAUUGAGCAUGUAACAAAUUGUUACGUACCAAAAGGAGGUUGAUACCCAAGGUGUUGAAUGUUUGAAUGAUGGAUGAUUUUGAUGGAUCAGAAAGAGUGGACUCUCGCACCAGAGCAAAGGUGGGGUGACCAGCCUUAGCACUUGCUUCCACCAUGAACUUUCCCACAUACCCUGUUGCUCCAAUUAUCAGAAUCUUGCUAGUGCCCACCUUUUCCAUUGGAAAUAAACAAUGUUUCAACACACAAAGAUUAUGCAAGAUUAGAGAAGAAGGAAUAUAUAUCUUGCAACUUUAUUUGCUAUGAAGAAUGCGCAAAUGGAGUCAUUUAUAUAUACACUGUCUUGCUCCCUUACGUGUAUUGUUUCUGCAUUUAAAUAUACAAUAAUAUUUAUCUGCAAUUUGAUUGGAAAAAUGUUGUUUUGCCGACAUACUGAAAAAAUCACAACCUUUACCCAUAUCCUUAAUCAUUAAAAAUAUCUAAAUUUAGACAUUUAGACAUUUAAAGUCAGCCUUAUAACACCAACUAACACCAACUUACGUUAAAAUUUGUACUCACUUAUAUACUAUGAAAUAUUAUAAUAUCUAGUUGAUGUGAGACCUCUAACACAUCUUUCACGUCGAGAGUAAUAAUUCGUGCAUUGGUCAUUCGAUAACAGUUCGAUAACAAGUGGUUUGAUAAGUCCACUAAAUACUGAUUAUGAUAAAACUUUAUAAAGAAUUGAGAUAAAAUAAAGGAGAAAAAAAAAAGAAAAAAAAAUGAAAAAAAUAUGUUGUUUUAUCUCAAUUUUUUAUUUAUAAUAGAGAAUUAAGAUAUUAAUAUUAACUUUUUUCAUAAAACACUCUACUUGAUAUGGAAAUUACUUAUUUUUGAAAUAGUUAAGAUUAUUUUAAUAUUGAAUUUCAUACAGUUGCAUAUUAUUUAUUAUUUAUUUUAUUUUUAUGACAACAAAUUAAAUAGAAUGCUUAAAGAACACCACUUAAAUGCAUUUGUUACUUAUGAAUCAAUAUUCAUAUCCAUAUCAAAAUUAUGAUGAGAAAAAGUAGAAAAAUCUCAUUUUCUCAAUGUCCAGUCAAAAUAGUGUACGUUUUUAAAUAGUAAUUGAAGAUGUCCAUGUCUUUGCUAUGAAUCUUCAAUUGAAUUUAUUUUUGGUUGAAUUUUUGACAUUAGAGUAUGAACAAUGUUAAAAACUAGUGUUUUGAUUUAAGAUAUAUGUUAUUUUUUAAAACCCAUCAAAACAUCUUAUUAUUUUCUCUAAUAUCACUCAUUGUAUCUAUCUAUAUUUUUGUCAUUUUUUCACUGGAUGAUGAAUAAAAUUUGGAGUUCUAAAAAACACUUUGAUGUUAAAAAUCUUCUAAUUUGAACGUAAGAAAUGCAUGGCAUAUAAGUUUGAAUUGUGCUGUGUCUAGAAUCUAAAUGUUCUACGUCCCAAAAGAGUACUAGUCUUAAACUUUGUUUUUCAACAUUUUCAAAUGCAUGAUGCAUUAUGUGAAAAUGGGAGUCAAAUAAACCAUUUUUUAGUUCGUAAUUAAAAUAAUUAUGAUCAUUUGCAUAUAUAUAUAUAUAUAUAUAUAUGUAUAUAUAUAUUGGUUUCAUGAGUGUUUUUUUCUGCUAAUUUUUUUUACUUUAAAAAAAAUAAAAUAUUUUUACUUAGAAAAUAAUGGAGGAAUUAAAAUCACGUUUUAACAAAUUAUUUUUGCGAUUAAGCAAACUUAUGUUAAUAUCAACUUGGAAUUAAAUAGUGAGAUACUGAAUUUGUGCACCAUAAUUAAAUGAUAAAGUAUUGCAUUGAUUCUAUUAGUUUGUUGGAGGGUGUGAGACAAAAUCUAAUUAAUACUUAAAGGGAUUUUUCACUAAAUCAGUGUAAUUAUUUUUGGACAUUAUACUUUUGGGUAUAAAUUUAUUUUAUUAUGGAAAUGCGGAAGUUGUGCACCACUUGUACAAAAUUUGUAGGGAAAGACGUAUUUUAUGUAUACAAUUUUGCGUCAAAAAGUGUUUACGUGGAAGUGGUAUAUCAUUAAUUUGAUUAUUUGUAAAAAAAGAGUUGUAUAAUACUUUAACAACUUUAUUAAAUAAAAAGUUAAUAUUUUAAGUGAAGUCGUAUAUAAUUUAUACGAUUUUAGUUGUAUUAUUUUAUACAUAAAAUCGUGUAAGUUACGUAUAAUUUUACUUAGUAUUUUUUUAAUAAAAUUUUAUAUUAUUAAAACCAAAAAUCAGAAUUAAUUAAUUAUCAAAAGAGGAGUAUUCUUUAAAACCAGAAUUGAUUUUCCUUGAUAUCUAACAUAAUGAAUGAAAGUAUCCUUAAAAAAGAAUAAGGUAUAUGAACAAUUCUUUGUAGAUAUUUCUACAAGAUGUUUUCUUUUUUCAUAGAAAAAAUUUGCUCAAAAAAAAGGCGAAAAUGUUUUAACUGUAACUGAGAGAAUUUGUUAGGAUAAGAUAGGAAAGGUUGGGAGAGUUUUAUGAAAGUGAAACUUUAAGUUUUGUUUUGUUUUUAAAGUAUAUUAUUUGUGAAGUUUGUUAUUUUUUUAUUUAUAUUAUGAUUUGUAUUGUUUGAAAUGAAGAAACAAACAAGAUUAAAUCUAUUGAAAUAAUAAUAAAAUAAUAUAGGGAAAUAAAAUUUAUUCAAAGAAAUCUAUUGAAUAAGGCAAGGAGGAGGGAGAAGUGUUUUGGAGUUAUUCAUUGACUUGAAAAUAUUAUGGGAAGAACUUGAAUCUUUACGGUCAAUUCCUCAAUGCGUAUGUAAGAUGUAUAUGUAAUCUGAUGAAAAUUGUUGUUAAGUAUACAGAUUCAGAAUACAUGAUUUGUUUCUUAAAGAGUUUAAAUUAUUCUUAUGUUACUCUAAAGACUCAUAUUAUCCUUUUAAAUCAUUUACCUACUAUUAACAGACAUUUUUUUUAUUGUUUUGCAACAAGACAAUUGAACGGGAAUACGAUAAUUGAAAGCAAGUUCAAAGAGAUACUUGAUACUAGAGCUAAAAAAUAUGUGUUUCUGGAUUAUGAAGUUGGUACAAAAGGAUAUGUUCUAUUUGAUGCUAAAGCCAGAUUCUUGUUUCCAGAAAUAUAAUUUUUUUUAACAUAUCUUUCCUACAAGGUGGAUAAAUCUAAUAAGGAAAAUGAUCAACAAUGUGAUUUUUAUUUUUAUUUUCUUUUUGAACUUGUUACUUAUAAUAAUGAAGAAAUUGUUCAACUUAGUGAACAAAAAUUUAGAAAACCAAGAUAAUCUUAGACGAUCAACUAGAGAUCAUAAAGUCUCUGUUUUCUUGCAAGAUUAUCAUUAUCAAUUCAUUGAUACAAGAUAUAUUAAUAUCAAUAAUGCCACUCAUUCUAUAUCGUCUAAUAUUAGUUAUGAAAAAUGGUCUCUUAAACAACUGCAUUACACAUUAAAUAUAUCUAUCAAUAAUGAGCCAUGAAGCUACAAUGAAGUUAUCCAGUAUCCUGAAUGGCAAGAAGUAAUAAGGAAGGAGAUUGAAACUAUUAAGCAAAUAGGACCUAGUACAUGACUAAUCUUCCUCAUGGAAAGAAAAGUAAUGAAGAAGUGGGACUUUUUCUUGCCUUGGUCGCCAUUCAAGACGGACAUCUACAACAAUUGAAUGUCAAUAAUGUUUUUCAUCAUGGUGAGUUAGAAGAAGAUGCUUAUAUGUUACCUCCUUUAGGUAUAGAAGUUCCUAAACCAGGACAUGUAUGCAAACUAACUAAAUCUUUAUAUAGUUUAAAAUAGNNNNNNNNNNNNNNNNNNNNNNNNNNNNNNNNNNNNNNNNNNNNNNNNNNNNNNNNNNNNNNNNNNNNNNNNNNNNNNNNNNNNNNNNNNNNNNNNNNNNNNNNNNNNNNNNNNNNNNNNNNNNNNNNNNNNNNNNNNNNNNNNNNNNNNNNNNNNNNNNNNNNNNNNNNNNNNNNNNNNNNNNNNNNNNNNNNNNNAAGAUUUAGGAAAACUUAAGUAUUUUCUCGGAUUUGAAAAUGCUCGAUCUAGUAAAGAAAUACAUAUUUUGCAAAGAAAAUAUACCCUGGGUGUUCUUGUUGACACAUGUUUGCUUGCGGACUGCAAUCUUCUAGAUACAUAGCUCAAAAUCCAAGUUUUCAUGAAAGAACAAAGCACAUAGAAAUAGAUUGUCACGUUGUUCGAUAAAAAAGUAUAUACUAUGAAAUGUUUUUAUGUAAGAUUCUAACAAAAAUAUAAAAUAACAAUAACCAAAACAACCAACCAACUCUCAUUUCUUUAUUUUAUUUUAUUAAAAAAAUAAACUUUAAAUAGGUCAUAGAUAACCUAUACGAUUUUAAUUUAAAAUUAUACAACUGAAAUCGUGUAUGUCAUUUACGAUUUUACUUAAAAUCCUUUUUUUCUCAUUUAAUCAAACAUGUAAAAUAUUUUUUUUUGUUAUGAAUUGAUCGUAUUAAUGAUGUAGGACACUUUUCUAACACAAAGUCGUAUUCAUGGAUUGCAACAUUUAUACUCCACUAUAAAGUAUCAACGGCACACUACUUUUCAAUCCUUCUAAUAAAAUUUUUCUACAAAAAGCAUAAUAUAAAAAGAAAAAUACACUCCUCUUCGGUGCAAAAACCAUGAUAACUUGCGCCACAAUUACUCAACAAGAUCUAGAAAAACAACUUUGAUGUCUUCGUCACGCACGACACUUUAUAAUAUGUGUAUUUUGUCAAAAGAAGUUUUUGUCAAACUAAGUUGCUGGAGCAAAUAAUGUUCUAUUUAGAACCACAAUUAUUUUCUUGUACAUGAGUUAAUUAAGUUAUCAGUUCUAUUUUACAAAAUUUUAUUUUUACUCGAAAAUUUCAUAAAUUAAACAUAGGGACUCAUCCUUUAUUUAAUAAAUAUUAUUAAUUGAAAUUUUAAGUUUGAUCCGAAAAAUAUGUUUUCCAAUUUUAAUUUUAAUUUCAUAUUUGAUAAUGAUUUAUAUUAUAGAACGUGACUUUUACUGUUAAUAUAUUAUUAUUUUAAUCCUGAAAAAUGGACUUGUGUCCACUCAUCAUCAUCUGCGUCAAAUUUGACAUUCAGAUAUUUUAGGAGAUAUUUUCGGAGUUUAGUCAAAAAGAAAAACAAGUUAUUCACUUGUACUCAACUAGAACUUUGACAAAAAAUUUUAAUAAGUAUCCAGAACUUGUUUGUCGAUCUCACUAUAAUAAAUUUAUUAAAUAAUAAUUAAAGUUAGAAAUAAAAUUAACUAAACUAAAUAUUAUUUUAUAAAUUAAAAAAAAUAUUUAUAUUUAAAGUGAUUUUUUGUGAUUAAUAAAAAUUAAUAAAAUUAUUUUUAAAUUAAUAUUUAAAUUAAUUAUCAAAAUUUUAACUAUUAAUAUUUUAUAUUUUAAAUUAGUCUUUGAUUAAUAGAUAAAAAAGUCCAAACAAAAAACAAACGCAAAAAACUUGAUCAUUUAUAAAAUAUAUAUUUAUGAAGUGUAGAAGAAAAUUAUGGGGUGGAAAGAGAAACCCCGGUCACACUUCAACCUAUAAAAUUGAGCCCAGAGUUACUCAAGUUUUAAGAGGAUUUAUUUUUCCACUUGCACCCCUAUACCUUUUCCCAACACUUCAUACCUUUCUCCAACACCUCAUUCCUUUUUUUUAUCAGCAUUUUACAGUGUUCUUUAACGGUUUCUUCAGAUGUUUUUAUUCUCAAGUAACUUGAAAAAAUAUAUUUUUGAACAAAUCCUACCAAUCCCUAAUAAAAUAUUAACCACCAUUCUAUCCUAUGUUCUAUGGUAAUAUAACUAGAGAUGGUAAAUUGAGUGAAUAAUUUUAAUUCACCAGUUAAUGAAUUUUUAAAAAUAUUAAAAUAUAAAUAAAAAAUAAUUCAAAAUAUUAAUUUUAUAUAUUAUAUUAAAUAGUUAAAAUGAUAGAAAUAUAUAAUAUUAUUGUAACUUAGAUUAUUAAUAUUCAAUUUAGCCCAUUCUAUUUUCGCGUCAAGAGUGGGUUGGGCUAACAAGUUAAGAAUAAGUCGAACAGCCCAACCCAUUUUAUCACAUGUAAGUAUUCUAGAAUUUUUUUUCUUUUUGAACGAAAUUUUUUAUUAUGGAUUUUUCUUUCCAUAAUUGAAUUUUGAGUUUUUAAUUUUAUUUCGAAUUUUUUAUUUUUUAAAUAUAAUAAUCUCUUCCGAAUUCAUUUUUCUGAAAUGUAUUAUUUCCAAUUUUAGAUUUUCAUUUUCAGAAUAAAGAAUAUUUUCAUAAAUUUCAAAUUAUGUAGUGAGCAGGUCCAAGAAAAUUGGGUGUAGGAAGAAUUUGCCAUAAUAAAUCAUCUUGACCAUUAAAUCAUGUCAAAAUAGCUAAAACCUCCCCCAAAAAAAGUCCGCAACAUUUUAUUUCUUAAAAAUAAAGUAUUUAAUCUAUAUCUUUACACUUCAUCUCAAUCAAUCUUUAUAUUUGUACGAAAAGUUGACAAAAAAAUUCAGUAUUCAAUAAAAGACGAAAGAUAAUUUGAUAAAAGUAAAAAUUUUAUAAUCUGUAAAUACACCGAUCAUAUGAUAAAAUAUUGAAAUACUAUUCAUAUUUUUUUUAUAAUAAUUCAAGAAUAAAUCACAUUCUCUAUAUUCUUAUUAAAGUGGAAAUGGUAUCCAUUUUCCGCAUUAAAAUAUUAUAUUUUGUCCAACCAUUUCACUAGUGUGAGUAUUCUUUUAAGUAGAUUUAUUACUACUAAUAUUAUUACUAUUAGUAUUUUUAUUAAUAUUAUAUAUUAUUACUGUUUGGUUUAGUUUAGCAUAAAGAGAGGGUAAAAAAGCAGUGGCAGGUUGCCAUCAACCCUAAUGUAUAAUGGAUUAGGUAGCCAGUCACACAUGUGACAUUAAUAUGAUCUUAUUAUUUAUUCUACCAAGUAGUAUACAACAAAUAUAUGUUAUGUACUUAAAAAAAAUCUCCAUAAACCCUUUUGGAGAGAGCAAUUCCAACAAAUCAAAAUGGAUGAUCUGGUUUACAUCUCCAUCUUCGGAUUGCUACUUUCAACUGCACCUGCACAUGUAUAAAACCAUAUUUACAAUCAAUCAUGAAUCUCAAAAAAACAAUUAACUUCACCAAACAUAAUUCACUUGCAAUCUCAUAACUAAAUUUUUUUUUGUCUUGUAUCAAAACAACUUGUUAUAUACAUGGCAAUUAGCAUUGAUCUUUUUAAUGUUAUUGAGCAAGCUGCAAACACCUUUGCCACCACUUUUUAGGUAUAUGAAAGUGGUGGGAAAGUGAUGUAAGAAGCAAAUAAAAGUGACAACUGGCUUGAUGGCUAAAUGAUUAAAAAAAAUCAUUUUAAUUAAAAAAACUUAUCAAUAUUUUUUAUUAAAGAUUUUAUAUAACUAAAAAUUAAAAUAUUUCAUAAUAUAUAAAUAGAUACAAGUCAUAAAUUUGUAGGUACCUGUAAAUGGUUGAGAAGGAAAGGAUGUUGCUCGCCCUUGAUCAAAAGCAACAUUGUAAAGGCUUUGAAAAUCACCUUCCCAAUUUGAAGAGGGUAGAAUUUGCUGCAGUGCACGUAGUUAUUAGACAUUAGAAGAGUAAUGAUUAGAACAAGAAGAACAUUACAAAUUGCAUACACAAAAGGGAAACAUACGGUGAAACAGGAGGAGUCAAGAAACGCUUCGGACAAAGGUACAUGUGUAGUACUAAUGUUCCUUCGAAGUCCCAUAUUGGGAGGGCUUAUCCCCACGUUAUUUAUUAAUCCACCACAACAUGAUCCAUGUGGUUGUGUUGGAUUCAACUGAAGAUACGAAGGGUUGUUGCACAUUCUCAUAUCUGAUGCCAUCCCAAUGUUGGGUAAACCUUGAGAUAAAGAAGGAAACACCUGUGGCAAUCAAACAUAAACAGUUAUGUCAUCAACAUAAUUUCUUAUGCAAGUUCUAAAUUCUUAUGUUUUUAACAUAAUCCUAGGUUUUAAAAUAAAGUCUCCCACACCAUUAGUAUCUGUAGUGUUUUGUGAUUAUUUGUAAUUUUGAGUAUAUCAAAACAUGUCAAGAAGCUGUGUGUUGAAUCCAACUGAUAGAAAAGGAGAAAAAUGUUGAGUUAUAUACCUCUCUGGCAAAUAGUUCGUCAAUGCUUGGAUUUACAGCCGCUAAUUUCAUUGACAAGAACUGCAUGGAGUUAUAAACAUUGUCAAAUAAGUCACGCGCUAUAAAAUUCAACACAUUCCACUAUCAGUUAAUGGUUGGAUUGUAUAAAAAAAAAAUCUUUUGUUUUUUAAAUAUGGAUCAAAUUCAAAUCGACUUACUUAAUAUCAAUAAUAUUUAAAGGGUUGAAAUGAUUCAUUUAUUUGUUCGUCAACAUAUUUUAAUUUUAAUUUUUACUUAAUAUUUUUUACAAUAACAAUGUUUGAUAAAAUAGCUGAACAUUUUACUGCUAAAUUUAAAUCUCAUACUAAGAUAGAUUAUUAUGAAACGUGUAGAGCCUAAUUAAUUUCACAGGGACCAAUGUCAAAGGUUGGACCAACAAACUCUAACCUCAACUUGUCGUUGAAGAGACUGAACAUAGUUAAUGAUUUCAUCAAGCAUUCCAGCUUUGCCGGCAAUUUUGUUGCAACCCGGAACCAAAUCUUGCAAAUACUUCAUUCUCUCACUAAUUUUCUCCCUUCUAACCUGCACCAAACAGAACAAAACUCUCAGCAUUAAACAAACACAACUAGAAUCAAAACGCAUCGUUUAAUAUGCUAGUUUUUUUUUCACUCACUCUUUCAGCUAAGCUAUGACUAUCAGUGGCUUGACCACGACGCGCUCGGACAUGAAUGUACUCGCGCUUCUGGUUCUGAACCUCGGACGCUUUCGAAUCAUCCUUGGAAGAAUCCGCAGAGGUUUCUCUGUUGUUCUUAACUGCGUUGGAUUUGCCAUUUCUGUUGCUGCUCUGGUGCGUCACUCUGGAUUCUCCUUCCUCGCCACUCACUUUCACUCUCUUGUCCUUGUUAUCACUCUCCGCAGCAAUCUAAACAAAAUCAGAAAAAAAAAAAAAACGAAACGUCACGAUUGCCUUACCAUAGUCCACACCACACCGAAUCAUAACCUCUAUCAGCAUUCGCAAGUACCUUGAAGUUCUGCGCCUUCCUCUUCUUGUUGCUUUCCUUGGGUAAAAUAACGGAAGAAGAUCCGAAUCCAGAGUCGAGUUCGGGGCAGAGAGCCGGGUCGGGUUUGAGAGAAUGAGCCAAGACCUGAGCAAGCGCGGAAUCGUCACGCGCCAUGAGCGAGCCCUGACUCUGAGGAAGAUUGUUGGGAGAAGAAGAGAAAACGAGGUUAACGUGAAACUCCGUUGCGGAAAAGUAAGGGUGGUGAUUGUCGUGAUGGUGGUGUUGCCACUUGAUGGUUGCUUCCCUUUGUCUUUCCAAAACUGUCAUGUCCGAACAACUGGCUCCUAGAUUCCCCGAACCGUUCAGACAAUGCAACAUGUUGAGGUUGUUAUGGUUAUUCGUUAUUCCUAAGGAUUAGGCACCGCUACGUUGCCGAAAGUACGCGCCACGCGGUGUGUGUGGAAAACAAAAAGAAAAAACCACGUAGGGUCACGGGGAAGUUGAGAACACAGUGUGGGAGAAACACUGGAACACUGUUAAGGAUGUGCAGAGAUAGAGUGGGUAAGAUAUAAAGGGAGGGAAAUUCAUUUCUUUUUUUAUUUCCUUUUUUUAAUUAUUAGUAUAAUUAAUAAAAGGAAAUAAAAAAAUAUGGCCGGAAUAAUUAAGAUAGAGAGAGUGGGACAUAAGGUGUAUUGAUGUAACCAUAACCGAGGCUGUGCCUUGGGGCCCACUGAUAUGACCGCCACGUGGGCGUGUCCAACUCUUCCAAACGGCAGUGUUUCGCACUGGCACCUUAAAACAAAGCUGCGAUUAAUUUGUUUAAUGGAAUUAAGACUCUAACUCAAUCCAGUUUUGGUUAAACCUAGUUUAUGAAUUUUAAUUAUAGUCUUUCCAAAAAAAGUUGGAUUUUAUUUUUAUAAAAAAUGUAAACAAACAAUAAGCCUGUGUUUGUAUGGAGAAAAAGCUUAUGUAAUGAGAUAAAAAGGGAUGAAUUUGGUGUGUCUUAUGUGUAAAUUACCCUUUUUUUUAAUAUAGAAAACCUAUUAUGAAUAGUGUUUGAGUAACUAGAAACAAGUUAAAAGUGCUUACAUAAUUAAUUAUAUAGUCAAAUAUGAUGCAUAGUGGAUUAUCACCGUAUCAUAAUGAAUUAUGCAACCACACAUGUCCGAUCAAAUAAUCAUUACUGUAUAGUUUUUCUUAAUCAAGCACAUGAUUCAAGUUUUUCAUUCACUCUGCUUUACUCCAACUAAAAAAUCUUUCCAUUUUGUUUUACUUAUUUGUUUUCACUCUCUUUUAGUUUUUUUCCUGCUAAGUGAGAAGAGUGGAGGAAGUUUUGCAGCAUCAGCUUAAGAUUCUCUUCUAAAAAGGAUCAAAGUCUUCUCCUCGUCCUCUUCUAGAUGUAGCAAUCCCUUUCUUCUUUCAACUAAUCAACUUUGUAAUUAACACAAUUAUACAAUUUCUUUCUAAUCUCUUAUUCCUCAAACAAAAAAGUACUUGCAGUGUUUGUAUAUAUUGUCAAAGAAUGUAUUGAUAUGCCCACAGUCCACCAAUCAAUAUAUUUCAUUUGCAUCUCGCCUCAAACAUACAAUUAAAAUGAAUAAACACAAUUAUGUGUUUUCAUCUUAGUUAAAUUGGAUAAGAAUGCACCUAGAAUAAAAAAUUUGCAACAGAUGGGAAAGUUCCAGCAUAUACCGAUGUUGAAUUAUGGAUACAGGUCUAUUCCAACCGGUUACUUAUGUUUGAUAAAGAAAACAUAUAUAAUCUAAAAAUAUUUGAGGUUCCACUUUAAGGAAAGGGAUUGAUGGGUGAAGAAGAAUAGUGUGUCUGCAUAAUUGACCUCAUAAUUAGCUGCUAAACAUGGGAGAUUUUUUUGUUUUAGUGAGCUGUGAUGGGUGUUUAGUUAUUGUAAUGAGACAAAUUAAGCAGGAGAUGACGGAUUGUGGUAUAAUGUUAAUGAUAGGUGAAUUGUUGGUAAAAGAUAUGAAGUAUGAUGAGGAGAAGGGUUAGCAAGAGUGUGAUUUGGAAGCAGGAAAUGAUGGUUUGGUUGGAAAUUUAUGGUGCGAUUUGAAGCUUGAAGCAAUAGCGGAAGGUAAAGGUGAGGAAAUAUAAUUUGAGAUUGGUAGGAACAAGUCCAGAGAGGAUGAAGGCAACUUCCAUUAUCACCAAAUGGGGCCUCUCUUCAAAUCUCUCUAACUUUAUUUUUGGUUCAUGUCUCUUUCAACUCUAUCUUCCACCCUCUUCACUCUCUCUCUCUCUAGGUCCCCUCUUCCUAUGUAGCAGUUGGAUACAUACACUUCAAAAUUACCCAAUACCACAGCUAAAGGCAAAUGGGUCCUCCUUUCUCAAUCUCAUUUCCUCUAUCAUAUCACUUUUUUUGUGGUACACAUCAACACAAAACUCUGUCCCCUCUUCUCUUUGUUUUUCUAGUCACUCUUGCUUUUUAGUUCCUCAACUGCUUUCCAUCCUAUAUUCUCUUUGACUAACUCUCCCCAUACACUGCAUUUAUCAUCAACCAUCUUCUACCUUACACUAUCUAUAAACAAUACCCUCUACUCUUGUUAUUGUUAACUAACUCAGAUAGUAACAGAUUAUUGGUUUUACUCAUAACUCUGAUACUAAUUUGUGAAUAGAGAAUCUAUUUUAUUUCACUGUUCCUUCUACCAUCCUUUAAAUAGUCUUACAAUAAACAGAUAUUAUGACAAGCACAUAGUUUAAACUGUUUUUGUUUUGUCACAGUUCAUUGGAAUUCUGUGUCACCAACUGUGUUGUGCAAAUGAUGAAAAUAUCACUGCCUUAACUUGUGUUUCAUGCAACAAAGUAAUAAUACCAGGAAAGAUCGAGGAGCAUUCAGUUGCUUUUGUACUCAUUUCUUUUUCUGCUGUGAAUCUAUAAAUAUCACUAUAUUUUGACUAAUUUAGCAUUCAUAAAAUGUCCCUGCUGGCACCUGCUACUAAAUUGGAAAAAUAAUUGGAAAGGGUUCUUAUCUUAUCCAACUGAUAUGUGUUGAAGAUAAUAAUUGGGGAAGGGAGAUGGCAUAUGAGGAAGCAUUCAAAGAGAGCAGCAGAUCCGAUGUAUAGGGAAUCAUAGUUCUUUCUCCUGGUCCCUCCUCCUUAUUAAUUUAUUUUAUUAUUAUGGUGUCAUAAUUUGGAUCUGAAUGAACUUCUAAAGCUCUACAUUUCAGAUUGAGAAGAUCUGUAAUGUCAUAAGUAGGAUUUGAUACAAUUGGAUAUGAUGUUAAUAUGAUAAGAGUCUUUCUAUAAUCUUAAAUAAAUUAAGUAUUCUUUCGAUCCUAUGAAUAUAUACGAUAGUAUCACAUUAUUUAAAAGUCGAGAUAGUAUCACAUUAUUUAAAAGUCGAGAUCAAUAGUAGUUUAUAUACUAUCACUACAAGAAAAUCAUGAAAUAGAAAUCAAUUUUUAGAAACCAAAAUAAUUAGUUGCAAUAGUAACUAAAUUAGAGACCAUUUUAGAAACUAAAAAGAAUUUUGGUUUCUAAAUUAGUUUCUAUUAUUGUUAAAUAGUUUCUAAAUUAGUACCUACUUAACAACCAAGGUUUUAGAGACCAAAUUUAGAAACUAAAUAAUUGGUAGUUAAAACCUUGGUCGCUAAUUAGAUAUCAAUUUAGAAACUAUUUAACAAUAAUAGAAACUAAUUUAAAAACCAAUUUUUUUUUAGUUUCUAAAAUGGUUUUCAAUUUAGUUACUAUUGCAACUAAUUAUUUUGGUAUCUAAAAAUUGGUUUCUAUUUCAUUAUUUUCUUGUACUGUAUUUCUUACUCCAAUCCUAUCAAUUAACACUUUUUAAGAAUAAAUUAUAAUGGAGUACUCACUUUUAAAAUCGAUAAUACCUUAAAUGUGAUGAUUGAUUUUUUAUCAUAAAAAAAAAUUAUGAAUUAACAAAAAAUAUAACAUAAACUUGAUUAUAAAUCCUGUAUUUUUGGCUUUAUAAUAAUUAUUAAUCUUAUUUAAUACAUUUUUUCAAUAUGUUUUUUAUUUAUAUUUUCAGAAAGUAUUACUAAAAAUAUAGUAUAAGAUUACUCUUGAAUAUAAAUAUAGGCCAAAAAGUAAGAGAGAGGUUGGGUUUUUGAGAGUAUGUAUGUUGCUAUGCAUUGAUCCAUUUUACAAUCUUAAAAUGAUGAUCUUACAGAUGGAUGCUAUGGGCUUCCUUCUCUUAUUUAAUGCUCAACUCCUUUGCCAAACAAUCCCUCUCUACUCAUUCAACUAGACUUGGUCUUGCUUUUUAUCAUCAUAUCUAAAAAUGAUACCAACCAUAUAAUUCUAUAUUUUUAAAAGGAAAGUUAUAUAUGGGUGUAAUAUUUUCUAGUUAUUAUCAUGUUCAUUGAUUUAGUUUAUUUAAUCCAGAAUACAAUACAAAUAAUCAAUUCUACAAGUUAAAUAAUUAUGAGUAAAUAAAUUAUUAAAUAUAUAACAUGCAAUAAAUUUAUGGACAAAAUGAAGUAAAAAGAAUAAUGUACCUUCCAAGAUUAGGGAGUUGUUGCCUCCGCUUUAUUGAGUUAAUUUCUUUCACAAUAUAAUACAAAAUUUUACUCCAAGAGUUAAAUAAAUUGAAAACUUUUCACAUAAACAAAAUAAAUGCAAAAUUCUACUAGUUAAAGUUUUUUAGUAAAUACUUUAUAAAUUAAUUCAAGUAAGAAUUAUAUAGAUAAGAUGAAGAAGAAAAAAAGAUAAAGUAUUUUUAAAGAUUUAAUGGUUAUUGUCACAUUCCUUUAUUUACUUUAUUUCUUCUUCAUGAGAAUGAGAAAGAAUGUUCAAGAAGUUAAAUAAAUUGAAGAUUCUUUCAAGUAACAAAAUAAAUAAAUAAAAAUUUUAGGUUAAAGAAUUAUGAGUAAAAAAAUUAUUUCAAGUAACAAAUUUAUAAAAAAGAAUAAUGUUAGUGUCUUACUCCAUGAAACAAAAGAAUGCUCCAAAAGUACACUAAAUUGUGUUUUUUUUAACAACAUAACAGAAUUAUUAACAAUAAAUACUGAUGAGAAUUUUUUCAAAGCAACAGAAUUAUAUGAAAAAAAAAACAAAAACUCUAAACGUUACAAAUUUAUGAAAAGAUAAUUUAUAAACUAAUUCAAGUAAAAUUUUUAUAGAAAUAAAAUAGAAAAAUAUAUCACACCUUUAAUGAAUUUAAAUCUAUUGCGACUUAUCUCGUGUUAGUUCAUUUGUUCCAUGAUACUAUGCACACAAAAAUAUUUAAAGUAACAAACAAAAUUUGAAAAGAAAUACAAAAUUGUGUGAAAUAUAAAAUCGUUAGUAAAUAAAUUAUAAAUCAUUCAAUUAAUAAAUAUAAAUUUUUUUAUAAAAGAUAACAUACCUUAAAGAUUUCCUAACUAAUACCCUUUUUCUUAAGUUAGUGAUUUGCUGCACAACAAUGUACUCUAAAAAAUAAAUAAAUAAAAAGUAUUUUCGAAAGUAACAAACCUUAAACAAAUACAAAAUCUACAAGUUACAUAAUUAUGAGUAAAUAAGUUAUAAAUUAUUUUAAGUAAUUCAUUUGUAAAUAAAAUUAACAAAUUUUCAAGAAACAAAUUUAUUAAAUUUAGGUCUCAUUGACUGACCUAGAUUAAAAUUAGUUAAAUAUCAAAAUAAUGUUUGAAUGAAGAAUAGUCUUGUUAAUAUAAUAUGGUAUAAUUAUCUCAAAUAUAUAAUGAAGAGUUUAUAUAUAUAUAUAUAUAUAUAUAUAUAUAUUAAUGGUAUUAUUGACAUAUCUCAAAUAUAUAAUAAAAAAAAUUGAUAUUUUAAUAUUUGGAUAAUUAUUUUAAAAUUCUGAGGCGUGUUUGCUUGGAACCAUUAUAUUCUAUUAUAUUCUCCAUCUUUUUCCUUUGGACUCAUUACACAUGGAAUAUAUAAAAAAUAAACAAUGUCCAACAAUUCAAAAACCAUAGCAUAGUUGCUGCCAACUGUGAGUAAAUUUUAUCAUUAUAAACCUUACCACUUUUGCAUUUCAUAAUCCCAUAAUGAUUAAUACAAAUGUGAAAAACUAUGUUGCAUGCAUCAUUUAAUAAUGUGAUUAUGAUCCUUAAACUUGUCCAAUGAAGAAGCAAGAGUAAUAUCAACAUCUCACACAAAAGGACAAUGGACUUUCAUGUGACUUUUUCACUAUUGAAAAUUGGAAUUUUGAUGUCAAGUUGUUUUAUAGCACAGCACAUUUCAUUGGCCAAGGCUUGUAAACACCAAGAAAAUAUCAUAUGUCUUCAACCAUGUUAGCUUAUACAUAAUACUUUUCAUUAUUAAGCCUCUAAAAACAACCUUGUAACUAAUUUAGAAUCUAAAUAAUUGAUAGCAAAAAUUUUGAUAAUUAAUUAGAUACUAAUUUAAAAAUCAUUUAACGAUAAUAUAAACUAAUUUAGAAACAAAAAUUUUUUUAAUUUCUAAAAUGGUCUCUAAUUUAGUCAUAACUAAUUAUUUUUUUAUCUCUAAAUCUGGUUUCUAUUUUCUUGUAGUGAGCAUCCCAAAAACUAUGAAAGAACACAAUGAUAGUUUGAUAUUUGAACUAUCUAAGAAGAUGCAUACGAGGGUGUAUAAAGAAAUGGCCCAGAUGAAGUUAAGGUGAAAGCCCAUUUUUAUAGGUUUGGAAAUUGUGUCUGGCCCACUAAAACAAGAACAAGCUACAACAAAGAUCCUUUCCAUGAAUGAGUAAGUGUACUUCCACACAGGAAACAAAACAUUGAAUCCAUGAAACUCUGUCUUCCAUUAUUGUUCUAUUAAAAUUGACUUUUUGAUAAUACUCUUCCAAGAUCCACCAGUUCAAGACAACACAGGGUAAUAUUCUUUGAAUCCCAUGUCAUUGAAAUUCAGUUUUUCAACUCUUCAUUCAACAUUUUCUCUCUCAAUAUCUUAAAGAAAAGUGAUGUUUAAGACAUUAAAUUAACACUGAUUAAGAUUUGUAUUGAGGUUUGUAGGUAGCAUAUGUUGAUUCUAACAUUAAAAAAAGGAAAAGAAUGUUAGGUUUGUAGUGUAGAAGCAGUCUCUGCCCCUUGCAUUGAAGUGUCAACACCUAUGGUUGCACCCAGAUCAAGUGGCAUGACUGAACUUUCAUGUCUCAACCCUCGCAUCUUGUGGAAAAGCACCAUAUCUCGAGGAAUCAAUAAUACAUUAUCAAACCUUCACACCUUUUUAUAGCUUUUUAUUUCAGACUCACCUUCUUCCUCUUUUUGCAUGCUACAUUACCCAACUUUUGCAUACAAAAACAAUUUUAACCUAUGAGGCAAGAGCUAUGUGAACUAAUAUCAUUCUAAUUGGUUGGUUCCCAAAUUUGAAACCUUUAUCUACUUAUCACCAUUUCGCCCUCAAGGUAUAAAGAACACCGUCUCUGCUUUGCAAUUGCUCUAUCUCUUUAAGAUUCUCUGAAAUUAUGAAGAGAUUUGAGGGACCAGUGUGAGUGGUAGAUUACCAAGUUCCUCUUGUGCCAUUAAAUACCCCCAUUGUCUUGGACCUUGGUUUUGGUGAGCAAAGUCAUCAUUCACUUAACUUAACCUAUACCUCUUAUAUUGACAACUUGUUCCAGUAUACAAUUUGUGAUUCAUGAUAUAAAGAAAGGAUAUUUUCGUCACUUUAUAUAAAAAAUUUAAAUUUUAGAAAAAAAAAUAGAGUUGUAAACUGGUACAAGUUGUCCAUAUAUCACUUCUUUAACUUAUAUAUUUUAAAAGAAAAUGUUAUUUUUACAAUUACAGAGUAAUCAACUUUUCAAAAUUUAUUUAUUUAUUCACAUGUUUUCACAUUUUACGAGAAAAAUUAUAAAUAAAAUAUAUUGAUAGCUCACAUUUUUUAUACGUUACAAUCUCAAUAUUAUUAUUUUAAUAUUUUUUAUAUUAUUUAAUUAUAAAUUUACUCUUUAUUAUAUAUAUUUAUAUCUAAAUUUAUCAGAGUUGAUUUAAAAUAUCAUUUGUCAUAAAUUAAUUCUAGUACUAAUUUUACUAGAUAUAAUAUAUAAUAAUUUAUUAUUGAAUUGUCAAUAUAUCAGUGCUCUUCUAUAAAUUAGAGUUUCGCAGAACAAUUUAUUGUUGAGUUAUCAACCUAUCAUGACUUUUCUACUAAUUUUGCAGAGGACCACUCAAUUAGUAUAUACUUCCAUUAAAGGGAAUAACUAAUGGUUCAUGGUUCAUGCAUAUAACUUUUCCGAGGUUUAUGUCACAAAAAGUGCUUUCUGGGUGGCUAUGACUAGAGGAUUUAGAGAACACCAAAACAAAGAAAAGGUUAGUGAAUUAGCCUUUUUGACUCCUUCAUAAGAAAAGAUUAUGGCUGCUAUCUUUGGAUAAAAGCUGGAACUUUUUUGUUGUCAAUGUUAAUUUACAAAUUCUAAUGCACCAAAGGAAAAAAAAAACUAUCUUAACAGUUAAAAAGUGCUUAUGAGUUCCUUUAAGUGAAAUCUGAACAUGCCCUGAAUUAACAAACUCUGUAAACUUGUGUUUAGAUGAGUUUUAAAAAGGAAGAAGCUGUAACAAGCAUGCAUGUUGAGAACAAAAUAGACCAAGCCAAAAAUACUUGAAGGCAAAAACACAGAGCUGAUGAGUGAGCUCCAUGUGUUAUGAAAGCUACUAUACAUGACUUAGUCCAUUGAAUUUGAAUGCAUCAUAAUCUAUUGCCAUGCAUGCUUGCUUAAUAACUUUAACUUUUAAUUGUAUAUAAUAUAUUAAAAUUAAAAUACGUCCCACCUCUGUACAAUAUUCUUCUGAGCAUUUUUUGUUUGAGAACAUUCAUUGUGUUUUUGUUAUCUCUUGCUUUUGCUACUGUUUUUCCUUGCCAUUUUAAAAUACAUAACUUUCUCUGACUUCAUAUUUCAAAGAAGCAAUCUUUUAUUGAUUUAAAAAAUGGGAAUUCAAUUGAUUUUUAUCAUCCAAGUAAAAUUAAAAAAUGAAAUUACUUUCUUAUUAGAAAAAAAAUCACAACUAUUCUGCACAGUCUAGUUUAAUACUAGAUGUUGUGUUAUAUCAUGAAACCGGAAGUUCGAAUUUUCGGUCACCCAACUCUUAUAUAAAACAAGAUUAGAUAUACAUUGAAUUUGUCUUAAUCAUUCUCAUAUGAUAAGACUCAAUAGAACAAUAUACAUAAGGUCCACCUCACAUCCUAAGUUAAGAGCAUUAUUCUCAAUUAGGAAUUAUAAAGCAAGAUUAAACGGACAUUGAGAUUGUCUUAAUCAUUGUGACAGUAUAAGGUCCACUAGAACAAUAUAAAUAAGAGAGAAUCUUACAGGGAAAAGAUAAUGUUAUUUUGAAUUCUGAACUAGACUAUCAAAAUUGACAUCUUCUAACUUGAACGUCUGAAUAUUUUUACAGGUAACCAUCCACUCGGACAUCCAAGGAAAGUAGACAGAAUUGAAGAGAAGACAGGAACCAUUCGAUAGGAAUACUCAAUCUUGGAUAAAUUAUAAGAACACUGUGUAGAUGAAUUUGUGUCCUGAAGCAACCCAGAAAGUUAAACAGGUAGCAGAGACAUGCAUGAAUAUAACCUUUCAUAUUACUACAUUGAGUACAUGAUUAAUGUGGAGGUUAUGCGUUUUGCAGAAUGUGGUUUAGUUUAUGAAGAAAAAUUGAAGAAAAAGAAAGUGGAAGAGGGUAGAGAUAGGUAGGAGCUUAUCCUUGUGUAUGGAGUGAUGAAAACGGUACUUCACUGUUCCACCAAUCAGACGAAACACGAUCCUUCAAAUGCCCAACCAGAGAAAAGAUAUAUGAAAACAGUAGGACCUGUUUGAAAUGCUACAAAAACAUGCAGAAAAAAACAAUGUGGUAUGGUGAUAUCGUCGUACGGGUUCCAGGUAGGCAACUACAACCUUUUGGAAUGUUGCUCUGAGCAAAGGUUGGGAAAACCCAACUCUGAAUACCUCACAAACUGAAUACAAUAAAAUAUUUUUUGGUGAGACACAGAAAAUUUAACUCUUUCUCCCUCUUGCCAGAUUCUUCUCAGUCUUACAGAUUACGUCAGUGAUAAGUGAUGACCACUACUUUUUUAGAUACCUGUGAACACUUAUCUCUAACGCCAAAAAUUUGAGUCUAACUUGGAUGGAAUACCAAAAACCCCAUCAAGAAAAGAGCCUCAUCAUCCAAUAGACUUUCUUCAUGCACACUACUGACAUGAAUUACCAAGUUCAAAUUAAACUAUUGCUGCAACCUUGUCUUACUUCAUGUCAUGCAUUUGGGAGGGUGAGCAACUCAUAGUUGAGUGUUAAGCUAAGAUAAACUAUGUCAUUUCCAACAUUUUAAGGUUGUGUUUGAUGUCACUGUGUGUGUGCCUUCAAAACAUAAAUCACUUCCCCUAAAAUCAAUUUCACUGAUGUUUAGGGUUUAAAUUUAUGAUUGAGAUCAAGGUGGUGAUUUUGCAAAUACCAAAACAUUUGUUAUUGUUGGUCAUCUUCAUGUAGACUAAACCCAAUAGAAAAGUCAAAAUUUUCCAUUAAGUUUAACCACCCAACAUUUUAUGUUUCAAAUGUUGUUUUUCUGUCAAGGCAAUUAUUAUAUUUUGCAGGAUGAACCCCAAAAGAAGUUACUUUUGUAGACCUAUUAAAAAUACUAAAAUUUACUCAAUACUUAAUAGGGAAUAUGUUGGUAAACAAAAAAACUAAAUUAUACAUUUUCCUCAUACCCAUAAAUAGUUUCUUUUGAUUCAAAAACAAUAAAUGAUUACAAGAAUCUUAUCAAUAAUAAACUUCUCAAAUUCUACCAAAUUUCCAAAAUAUUCAACCCACUUAACCUAAUUUGGGAACUUGGAACUUUUAUAAACAGAGUAAUGUGUUGUUUUAAUUAAUUGUCCAUCUAAUGCACAUUAAAGUGAAACUAAGAUUAAACUUGACAGUUCAACUAGUAGAUUGACCAAUUAGAAUAUACUUUAAACUGAGUUAUUUCUUAUGCCAAAUACUUGCAAUACACAUACUAAUACACUUACACUAAUACAAUCUGAAAGUCAUUGGUGUUAUGCUCAUUAAAACAGAAAGUGAACUAAUCAUUUUUGUGAAUCUUGAUAAAUUUUAAAAGAGUUUGCUAUUAGCAUUUUUCAUCAUUUAUUUAAUGUUAUGUCAUUUAUCAAUGUCAAGCUUUAAACUUAUCAAGAUUAGUUGUUACCCAUAACUUUAGUCAGUCUUUGUAUACCUAACACCUACCUGACUUCAGUCAUUUUGAUUCUAAGUUCAUUAAUGGUUGUAUACAACAUACAAAAUACAAAAUGCUGAUUGAAACUAUGUUGAAAAAAUUCCUAUGCAUUAAUAAGCUUCACAAAAUGAUGCUCCUAUCAAGCAAAUCAAUUCUUCUUUUUGGAACCAGAUUCUUUUUAAACCGAUCCCCUUCACUGAAUGUGGGUUAUGGCCAAUAAAAUCUCCUUGUAUGCUUCAUUUCAUGGUUCCAAAGCCAACGAGUCACGAGACCUUCUAACUUUUGCUAAUUCAGAUUCCCUGAUCAGCUAUAACCCACUAGCUUGAGCAAUAUAUAAGCAUAGCACCAGCUGCAUAUUCUCACACAAACUUUCCCUUCAACUAAAAAAACUUCUUUGUUCUUUUCUCUUUACCAUUAAUCUUUCUCUUCCUUUCUAGCUAGCAAAGUAAAACAUUACCAUCCCUCUUAGGCUCUAGUGAGACAACAACCUAGAUUAUCAUCACUCAUGGCCUCAAGCUCUAUCAGCAAACAAAAGCCUUCUGACUCCUCUUGGACACCAAAACAGAACAAACUGUUUGAAAAAGCUCUUGCAAAAUAUGAUAAGGAUACCCCAGACCGGUGGCAGAAUGUGGCCACAGCAGUAGGUGACAAAUCUCCAGAUGAGGUUAAGAGACACUAUGAAAUCCUCUUGGAGGACCUCAGACACAUAGAGUCUGGCCAUGUUCCUCUCCCCAAAUACAGGUCCACUGGAAGCAGCACCAAUGUUGAUGAUGAAGAGAGGUAAUGCAUCUUCCUAACCAAAUCUCUCUUUCUUUCCAAUUUUUGUAAUAUACUAUAUGAUAUGCAUGCCAUUAACCAACUACCUUUUCACAUUAACCUUCUCAAUUUGUAAUCUUUCUCAUGCAUGCAUUGUUCCACUGUUUGUCCCUCUUUAAUAUAUGUGAUGUGAGACAAAGGGGUUGACUAGAACAACCAUCACACACAAAUGGUUGCAAAACCAUAUUUUAUAAGGUUAGUAUAAAAAGUAGCAGCAGCUGAUGACUUCUGCAGCAUUGCUCUGCAACUGGGUCACUGUUUAGCAAGAAAAAAAGCACAAAUCACAAACUAAAACCAUUGACAUUUCUUUUCUGUUUUCAUAAGCCAUUGAAUAGAAAAAUUACUUGUUAUACACCUUAAGUUUCAAAAUUCUACACUCAACUAUUUAGCCACCUAACUCAUGCAAUUAGGUGUAGCUGCUUUCACUCACACCAUUUUUAUGUCAAUAUAUUUUUUAAAACUUGUGGCAGAACCCAGGUAACAAAAUUCUUGUGGACCCAAUUUACUAUGCACAAAUUUUAACUGUCAAAAUUUAAGUAUUUAUGAAAAGUUAAAGCUAAAGAGUCCGUAGCAAUAAUCUUACUUUUCCUUGACUGGACAAUAUUAUGCCACAUUGCAAUAGUUUCCAAAUACUUGAACACUUGAACAGAACAAAAGCAGUGAUGAGUCCCACUCACUUGAAUAAACAACGUGGUCAUUUUGUGACAACAAAUUGAGUGUGUAAUAUCAUAAGUUUUCUUGCAUUCUGCAUUAAUUUUUGUCACAAUUUUGUUGUUCCUGUCAUUUAGAUAUUUUCUAAUCUGCACAUGUUUCAUUUCAUUUGAACUAUUUGAUUGUUCCAGACUUCUGAAGUAUCUUAAGCUGAAUUGAUGGGAAGAAAAAAUGUUUGUGCUAUCCUCAGCUAUUGGCAGCAUUUAUGUGGUGUUCCUUGAUUCUGCAGAAAUAUCUUCCUUGCUAUCUCUCUCUACCUUGUUUCUCUAUGUUCUCUUUCCUACCAUUGUAAUUUAGAUUGUUUCAAAUUUUCAAUGAAUUAUCCUGUUGCAGAAAACAAUGUCAGAUAUUCUCCUACACCCUUUAAAAAGAUUAAAAAAUGUUUUGCUGGAUUAUAAUCACAUUGAGAUUAUAUAAUUUGUGCAUGAUCAGAAGAAUAAAAUAAUUAAACAAAUUGCUUUAGAGGUUGUACAGUUUAUCAGAAAGAAGAUAAAAAGAGAAAAGUGAAAAGUAACUUGAUUUUGCAUCGUAGUACAAAAGUACCAAACUCAUUAAUAUUCCCUCGUAUAAAUCAAACUGAGUGCAGCUUUACCUCAUCCUCAUGUGAAACUUUUGGUUGUGUUCAAGAUUGUAGAGGACUUUAACAUGGAUUUGAGCUUUUUCUUCCUGCUUUUCAAAUCAAUUAUUCCAAAUUGCACGAGUUAAAAUUGCAUAUUUUAGAAGAUGAAUAAUAAUAUUUACAAAACAAUUUAUACACAUUAAAAUCUUUAAUUGUUUAUUUAGUUAGUUUAGAUUGUUUUAAAAUUCAGAUUAAACAAAAAAGUAAAGUUCAAAUAAUAUUUUGUCUUCAUUUUCACUUAUUUCUAAUUAAUUUUGACUAAUUCUUGUUCUUAUUGGUGAGAUGUUUCAAUUGUUUGGAGUUCAAAAUAUUACCUAAUCAAUUCUAAAGUGUACAGUCCAAUUCAAUUUUUAAAACAAUACUCAGAACUUGCAAAUUUUUUGACAAGAUUUCAAAUUUUUCUAGAAAUUGAAAUUUGGGCUUUUGGUAGAAAUUUUGCUUUUAGGAUUGAAAAAAAAAAUAGUAUUUAUAAAUAUAGGUAAUCCCUUUUUUUCCAAAAAAAAAAAUUGCAUAUCAAACUUUUCAAGACAGGACAAGAUUGACUAUUCUUUAAAGUUAGUGUCACAGGUUGAUUAGACAUUUAAUACAAAUAAAGAGAAACUAUUAAUUAUAAUGCGGGUAUACUUUUUUCAAUUUUAAUUAAUUUAUUUAUAUUUAAUAAUAUUAUUUUAAAAAUAUCUAUAAAUAAUUUUGAUGAUAUCGAUUUAAAAUAUUUUAUUUUUUAUUUAUAACUACUUAGUUUAGUUAUCGAAGUAAAAUAUGUAUUAGUUGAUGAAUUAUAUAAAAGUAUCUAUAAUGUUGCACUUAAGCUUUCUCAACAAAAGAAAGUAAUGCAUUUGAUUUAACUAUAAACAUAAAAUAUUUAACCAACAAAAAUUAUGUAUUUACUUUCACGGAAGAAAAAGUUGAGUACUGAAAAAUUCAAUUCAAGUGAUAAAAAAAUAUGGAAAAUAUAUUUUAGACCUAAAUGCCACAUUUUGAUAAAUGAUUUUGGAUGUAGAACAAAACUUUAAACAUGAUUUAAAUGUUGUAAACAAAAAUACUUUGUAUGAAAUUUAAGAGAAAAAUCCUAUUGGUUUAUUUUUAAAUUCUUGUAAUUUUUUUAUGGUUUAAUAGUUUACUUUAAAAGUUAAUUUUGAUACUAUUUUAGUAUUUUUUAAAAUUUCAAUUAAAACUUACUAUUUUUUAGACGUAAUAAUCUAAUUAUUUCUAUCAAAUUGACCAAAUACCUCUUUUAGAACAGGUGAAGAUAUGAGAAACAUGAUGUGUUCAAAUCUAUGCUGAUUCCAUUGUUUGUUUAAGAAUUCUUCAACAGAAAAAAAGCGUGUCCAUCAUGUUCAACAUGUUUCAGCUUGAUAUACUGUGCCAAUAUACUGUGACAUGCUAAACAUACAUGGCAAUAUUCAAGUUCAAUCUUCUAGAUAUGAAAGAACUGUGAAAAGUUUGUCUUGAGUUGUGAAAAGUCUGAGCCAUUUUCUGAUUUAUGUGUGACAUGAUCAAGUUAGCAAAAUUCAGCAUCAAGAUACAUUUAACUUCAACCCUUUUCAGAAAAUGCAUUUACAAAGUGAAGAAGUUGAAGAUACCUUGCCUUUAAAAGCUAUGUUGCAGACAUCAUAAUCAUAAUUCAUAUACACUGCAAUUACUUACACGCAAAACAGUUUCUCUCAAGUGACCAAAACUAAGACUAAUAUAAACUUCAAUUACCUGAAAGUAGCUUAUCAUUGCUUCAAAAACCUGUUUACAUUGUCCUUGAUUCCAUUCAUUCACUACAUCAUCAUGGUUCAAAUCCAAGAUGAAACAAGAAGACAAUGCCUAAGUGUUUGGGUUGUGGGGGUGUUAUAGCAAUUGACCUUGUAAAGAACUUGUUUCAGCUUCAAGGAACAGUUAAGCAGUAGUGGUCAGCAUAGAGAUCAUCUCUCUGAACUGCUACUUGGUGAACAAGAGGGUCAUGCUGAUACCAAAAUUGCUUGUUAAGGGUUGGUGGGGACAGCAAUUCUGCUUUCAAAAGGGUUUUGGAAAGUUUUGAGUGGGUAUGAACUUGUUCAUCAUGUGAGGACUCAAUGGUACACAUGACAACUCAUUGAAAGAUUUUCAAUAAGUGUAAGAUUCAGAUGGAAAACUCUGGUGUGUUUGUCAAGGGACCUCAUGGCUGUUUUUGGUGAAGUCAACUGCAUCACAACUUGGUGAAGCUUCUCUUCCUUUUUAAUUUAUUGGCCAAGAAGCUAUUUGAAUUUAAGAACAAAAUUUCAAGCAUGUAUUUUACCAUUUCUGCAUUCAUGUUGGUAGCAAGGCAAUGAUUGAUGAGAAUAAGUAUAGUUGGCAGCAUGUGGAAACCCGAGGGAAGAAAUAGAAAAGAAAGUAUUUUUUUAUCAAAUACCAAUGAAAGUUCUAACAGAGACUACUGCAAGAUCAAACACAUUUAUAAGUAAGACUUGUAUUAACCAAGCAUGCUAAACCACUGACAGACUAUUCUUGAACUUAAGCAUGCAGAGAACCAUUUAUCCUUAAUGUACUAGAUGUGUCCAGAACAAUAUUUUGUGUUCCUUAUUAGACCAUAAUACUCUUCGGCAAUAGUUUUGCACAGAAAAACUGUUAUGUGACAGAUUGGGUUUGGGAGAGGACCUAAAGUGUAACAUUAAGGUUUGGGAUGUGAAACCCUCACCAAACAAUUCAAGAUUGCAUUGACAACUACCCCACUUGGAAAAAUUUUAAUGUUUUUGUAAUGUUUAAUGUGGACUAUACAUAAAUAUCAUCGAUUGUACAUUAAAAAUCAUCUUUAAAAUAAGUUUUAAUUAUUUUAAAAUAUUAUUUAAUAAUUAAACAGCAUAUCCAAUCAUUCUUAUCUAUGAAACUCAGACACUUCUUUUAAAUGAUGUAUCCAUGUCGGAUACACGUAUCAGUGUCUACGAGACACUUAUCGGUAAAGUGUUCAAUUCAAAAAAUAUUUGUGGGUUCUAAACACAAUUUUAAAAGAUAUAAAUACAAUAAUUUUCUAAAAACUCAAAUUUAUUGUAUAAAUUUUUAUUAUGAUUAUAAAAAUAAGGAACAAAUUGUUUUAACAGUCAUGAAAAAUAUCUUAAGUCAUGAAAAAUAUCUUAAUGCUCUCAAAAGAAUCUGGAACAUACUUUUACACAUAAAUAUUUAUUACACAAAUAGACACAUUUUUAUUAAAAGUUUGUAUAAGAUUGUAGUCAUAAAAGUAUUUAUAUUAUACAUUAAAUUGACACAUUUUUAUUAAAAGUUUGUAUAUAAGAUUGUAGUCAUAAAAAUAUUUAUAUGAUAUCUGUUCCACAUUGAUCAAUAUAAGAAAAACAAUAUUCAGUUUAAAAAAAAAGUUAAAUACAAAUAUCUAUAAAAAAGUGUUAAAACAUGUUUCUAUACUAUCAUGUUGAAAAAGAUAUAAAUGUAAAUCAUUGCAAAAUAUUACAAAAAAAAAAUUAUAAUUUAUAAAUACGUAUUUUAAAAAAUAAAACAGAAGGAAACAUUACCAAAAACCAUAAAAAAUAUAGAAACAAAUAAAUACGUGAAGGUAGACAAAAUAUUUUUAAACUAUAGUCAAAUGUGUAGAAAUAAUGGAGAAGUGUUACUCAUCCAAAAUAUAAAUGAAAAUUAAAGAAAAAAAUUAAACUAACAAUAUAAAAAUAAAUCAACUCUCUAAAAAUCCUAUAAGAAAAAACAUAAAUUUCUAUUCUUCCUUACUUCAAAAUUUAAAAAAAAAUAUUUUUUUAUAGCUUAGUAAAAGAGAGACUAAAUUUUGGAUUUUAAUUACUCAUACCAAAUCUACUCACAUUAUGUUCCAGAUCUAAUAAUCACUUCCAAGUAUAUUUCUAUUCUUCAAUUGAAUAUAUAAAAAAUAAUAGAAAAUAUAUUUCAAUUUUGACUUCCACUAUCUUGUAUUGACUGCGUUACGCUAGUAUAUAAUAAAUAAAUAAAAUAAUGAUGUAAAGAAAGUGUGAUUUGAGUAUUGUAUUAUGAUAAAUUAAUUAAACCUGAUUAAAUAUAAUUUGCCACUGUGUUCUUGACAUUGCAGACUUAAAAAAGUUGGAAGAUCAAUGAGAAAUUAUUUGAAUAAUUGGUUUUUUUACUAAUUAGUUCUGAUGUUAUGUUAUGCAUAAUUUAUGAAAACCGGACAAAUAUAAAAAAUAAAAGUGAGUGUAAAGCUGGCUGUAUUUAAAAAAGAACUGAUACAGUUAAAUCUGGAAGCGCUAACGUUAAGAAUAUCAUAAAACAGUAGAAACACACACGAGUGGUAGAAAUCAACACUGUAAUUUCAUAUUAUCUUUCAUUCAAGAAACUGUAAACAACCGGAUAUAUAGGUCAAAACCACGAACAGCAGGACCACAGAACCACGGACAAACAUCACCCAAAAUAGAACACCUAAUUUUAAUCAACUUAAUCAUAAACCCUAUUCUACAACACCAAACCCUAGUUCCAGCUACCAUCUCCUCCAUCGCCUCCACGAGAGUGGCGGGACCCACCAUCACCAUAACCACGGUCCCUGCCUCCACCGUAACCACCACCACCACCACCAUAACCACCACUGCGGUUAUACCCUCCUCCUCCUCCUCCCUCACGACGACCACCGUAGCCGCCUCCACCACCACCACCGUAGCCGCCGCCGCCACGGCUGUAUCCACCACCACCUCCAUAACCGCCUCCUCCACGGCCACCGCCGCCUCCGCCUCCUCCGCGAGACUGAGCUUCGUUCACAGUGAUGUUACGACCGUCAAGGUUCUGACCGUUCAUUCCUUCGAUCGCUUCUCUCAUGGCCUGCUCUGAGGAAAAGGUCACGAAUCCGAAACCCCUGGAUCUUCCAGUCUCACGAUCAUUGAUAAUCUACAAAUUAAAAUACCAUUGAUACAUCAGAUCUAAGACGAAACGCAAUAAAACAUAACCGAAUAGAACCCGAUCGAUCUUCGCCUUUGAACAAAGGAUGAAGAUGAACGUACCUAUUGGCGUGAGUAAAAAAAGAAUCAUAUAGUAACAAGUAGAAGUAUCAUAGAUCUA